rnacentral:rRNA from 1 species
UGACAUCUGACCUCAAAUCAGGUAGGACUACCCGCUGAACUUAAGCAUAUCAUAGG